CCCCAUCUGAGAGUAAGUUCUUUGAGAAAGAGGGUUCUAAGAAAAUAGAGUCCAAAUAGCCUGAGUCUGAGAAGGCUGAAUCUGAAGAGCAGGGGUCUGAGGAGACAGAAUCGGGACCACCAUCCUUAGAAAAGCAAAGUGAUAAUGAUUCUCCAAUUCAUAGAGCUGUAGUAAGAUGCAAAAACUCGGAGGUUAAAGAUAAUGUCAGAUGGCUUAUUU
rnacentral:lncRNA from 1 species